GAUGAACGCUGGCGGCGUGCCUAAUACAUGCAAGUCGAGCGAACGGACGAGAAGCUUGCUUCUCUGAUGUUAGCGGCGGACGGGUGAGUAAAACGUGGAUAACCUACCUAUAAGACUGGGAUAACUUCGGGAAACCGGUGCUAAUACCGGAUGAUAUUUUGAACCGCAUGGUUCAAAAGUGAAAGACGGUCUUGCUGUCACUUAUACAUGGAUCCGCGCUGCAUUAGCUAGUUGGUAAGGUAACGGCUUACCAAGGCAACGAUGCAUAGCCGACCUGAGAGGGUGAUCGGCCACACUGGAACUGAGACACGGUCCAGACUCCUACGGGAGGCAGCAGUAGGGAAUCUUCCGCAAUGGGCGAAAGCCUGACGGAGCAACGCCGCGUGAGUGAUGAAGGUCUUCGGAUCGUAAAACUCUGUUAUUAGGGAAGAACAUAUGUGUAAGUAACUGUGCACAUCUUGACGGUACCUAAUCAGAAAGCCACGGCUAACUACGUG
rnacentral:rRNA from 1 species